rnacentral:rRNA from 1 species
CACGUAGGGACCAAGCGUUGUCCGGAUUCAUUGGGCGUAAAGAGCUCGUAGGCGGUUCAGUAAGUCGGGUGUGAAACCUCCAGGCUCAACCUGGAGACGCCACCCGAUACUGCUGUGACUAGAGUCCAGUAGGGGAGCGUGGAAUUCCUGGUGUAGCGGUGAAAUGCGCAGAUAUCAGGAGGAACACCGAUGGCGAAGGCAGGUCUCUGGGCCACUACUGACGCUGAGAAGCGAAAGCAUGGGGAGCGAACAGG